rnacentral:rRNA from 1 species
UACGGGGGGGGCAAGCGUUGUUCGGAAUUACUGGGCGUAAAGGGCUCGUAGGUUGCCAACUAAGUCAGACGUGAAAUCCCUCGGCUUAACCGGGGAACUGCGUCUGAUACUGGAUGGCUUGAGUUUGGGAGAGGGAUGCGGAAUUCCAGGUGUAGCGGUGAAAUGCGUAGAUAUCUGGAGGAACACCGGGGGCGAAGGCGGCAUCCUGGACCAACACUGACGCUGAGUGAGCGAAAGCCAGGGGAGCAAACGGG